GUGCUCACUUCAGCAACAAAUAUACUAAAAUAGUAAUGAUACAGAGAUUAGCAUGGCUCCUGCACACGGAUGACAUGCAAAU
rnacentral:snRNA from 1 species